rnacentral:lncRNA from 1 species
UUAUCCCGUAAAUGUGGUUGUGGGUGUCACGCAUUUACGCCACGUGGACCUUUCGAAACACGUCUGUGUCCCUUCAUGCAUCAAGAUUUCAACCCUGUUGGACCCGAACGACCGCACGAGAGACGCGAAAGCGACUCUUGGCUAGACGGCGAAAAAGCUAUAGAUACAUAUUUCUGGAAAAAGCGCGGUUAGACGAUCUCUGUUCUUAUGCAAAGUCGCGUAUUCGAUGGAAAAGGACGAGUCGUGAUCGGCCGGACGCAAGGGCACUCACAAUAUCAACGCGAUUCGCGGUACUAUGUGCGAAUCAGCCAAUCUGCGUUUUUUAAUUUUUUUUUUUCAGUGGAAAGAAAGACGAGUAAAUUUUUUUUUCCAAACUUAACAGUCAACACAGCAAUAACACAGAUACAUUGUAUCGUGUCGAUAAUAUGUUAAAUUUAUAAUCACAUGUACUUUGACUGUUGUUGAUCAAUCAAAUUGCGAUAACGACUCAACUAAUCUAUUUCGUUUGUCCGUAUCAUUUGUUCAUGAAAUAUGCACUUUGAUUAUCGGAAUGAGGAGUACUGCAAUAUGAAUCACAGUGCAAGCAUAACAUAAAUAUUCAUACAGCGUCAUUCAUUUGUUGCCGAACGAGAAAGCGACUCCCGUAGCUGUUUUAUCAGCGACUCUCUCUGAUCGGGGUCUCACGUUCAGCAACAAAUCAAUGAACCUGUAUAUUUACAAUGGAAUAUACUUUAUGUUAGAGAUCUGAGAUAUAGGUAUAAUUUAUGCAAUACGAAAAAACUUUUAAUUAAUUACAAAAUGACGAUUGUUUGCAAUACAAUAUAUUCUUGAGGAUACACUUGAAUGAAAAUUUUAUUACUGUCGUACAUUUCUCAGCUUCUCUUUGUCUUCCUGAUACUUGUAAUGAAGAUCCUUGCAGUCCUCGUCGGAAAUGUGAACCCAUCCAGUAGAUUUCAUGUGAUAAACUGAAAUUAACAUAUAUUUACAAUCGAGUGAUAAAUAAAAUCAUGGUUAAUCCAAAA